rnacentral:lncRNA from 1 species
AGCAUAUGUAGACAACUAGGGCAUAAUAAGAACAAAUGUCCAUAUCGUGGAUCUAGUUCCACAACUUAGUUUUCAUAUUCAUAAAUCUGUGUACCAAAAUCAUUUUAAAUUAAAGUUUACUUUUUAUUCCAAAUAGAAGAUGACACUUGAACAACAAACACAAACAUCUAACAUUACAACACCAAUUACUAAAACAAAAACAAAUACUGGAACAAAAACAAGUACUAAAACAAGAACAAGUACUAGAACAAUAACAAAUACAACAACAACAUGACAAACAACCAUUAAAAUCUAAGAAAUUACAACAGUUAACACUAUGUCGUCUGAUCCAUGCAUCAUUUGGAUGCAAUCAAUGUCGCUUU